AACCUCCGCAAUGUGAGAAAUCGCGACGGGGGGAUCCCAAGUGCCAUUCUUAACGGGAUGGCUUUUCAUUAGUGUAAAGAGCUUUUGGAAUAAGGGCUGGGCAAGACCGGUGCCAGCCGCCGCGGUAACACCGGCAGCUCUAGUGGUAGCAGUUUUUAUUGGGCCUAAAGCGUCCGUAGCCGGUUUAAUAAGUCUCUGGUGAAAUCCUGUAGCUUAACUGUGGGAAUUGCUGGAGAUACUAUUAGACUUGAGACCGGGAGAGGUUAGAGGUACUCCCAGGGUAGAGGUGAAAUUCUGUAAUCCUGGGAGGACCGCCUGUUGCGAAGGCGUCUAACUGGAACGGUUCUGACGGUGAGGGACGAAAGUUAGGGGCGCGAACCGGAUUAGAUACCCGGGUAGUCCUAACUGUAAACGAUGCGGACUUGGUGUUGGGGUGGCUUUGAGCUGCUCCAGUGCCGAGGGGAAGCUGUUAAGUCCGCCGCCUGGGAAGUACGGUCGCAAGACUGAAACUUAAAGGAAUU
rnacentral:rRNA from 1 species